GAAAAUCUUUAGAUUUUAUACACCAACGGUAUCAACUAUAUAUAACGAUAGUGUAUAAGAUCUUAAGGACUUUUAUACACCAGGAAAAGGUUUGGGAAAAAUAUUUAGGAAUUAAGAGUUAUCAGUGCACUUUAAGUAAGUACCAUUAUUUUGCCUUUUAUGUAUUUUUUAUUCGUGCUUCACUGAUGAUUCUUCUGUAGAAGAAACGCCC
rnacentral:lncRNA from 1 species